AUUGAACGCUGGCGGCAUGCCUUACACAUGCAAGUCGAACGGCAGCGGGCCUUCGGGUGCCGGCGAGUGGCGAACGGGUGAGUAAUGCAUCGGAACGUGCCAUUGAGUGGGGGAUAACGUAGCGAAAGUUACGCUAAUACCGCAUAUUCUGUGAGCAGGAAAGCAGGGGACCGCAAGGCCUUGCGCUCUUUGAGCGGCCGAUGUCAGAUUAGCUAGUUGGUGAGGUAAAGGCUUACCAAGGCGACGAUCUGUAGCGGGUCUGAGAGGAUGAUCCGCCACACUGGAACUGAGACACGGUCCAGACUCCUACGGGAGGCAGCAGUGGGGAAUUUUGGACAAUGGGGCGCAAGCCUGAUCCAGCAUGCCGCGUGAGUGAAGAAGGCCGUCGGUU
rnacentral:rRNA from 1 species